GCAUUCUCCACACUCAGGCAAAUCCAGGUUCAGAUCCCAACUCUGUCUCUUAGCUGUGAUGCUAAAAUGUCGCUAUUCUGUUAUCAGCUAGGACGAGAAUCCCUCUCCUGGAGGGAAAAAAUCAUGUUUAGAAAAUGUGUCUGCAACCCCAGUGAAGGCAAGAAAUGCCCCCAGGACAUGGACGUCUGUAUGGAUGUGUGUGUGUGUGCAUGUGCGCGCGUGUGUGUGAGCUGCUCAGUCAUGUCCAACUCUUCUCGACCCCACGGAGCCCACUAGGCUCCUCUGUCCAUGGAAAUCUCCAGGCAAGAAUAGACUGGGGUAAGAUUUCAAGGGGAGGGAUGAAGUCACUUUGAGUAAGCCAAGAAAAGAGACCACUUGGUCUUUGAAAGCCAGAGAUGGGACACAGGGCCCGCAUCCCUGGACCGGAGACCAAAACCUGUGAAGUAAGUCAUCAGGGAUUCACAGAAGUCUUGUGGAAGCUUUGAUCGUCUCUAGACUGGAGAACUGCAGAAGUGGAAAGACUCCCAGGCAGCUCUCAAGAUCAGGGAGGUGACUCAAUGUCUACUUUAAGUGGGUGGUGAGGAAAGGCAUUACCGAGGAGGUGACAUGCCCCUUGAGAGCUAAAUGACCGGCGGGAAUCAGCCACGCCAGGAACCGGGGGAAGGAAACUUUGCAGGCAGGACUUCCGCAGUAGUCCAGCGGUUAACAACCCGCCCGCCAGUGCAGGGGACAUGGGUUCGAUCCCUGGUCCAGGAAGAUCCCACAUGCCUCAGGGCAACUAAGCCGUGCUCAAAAGCAAUGAAGAGUAGCCCUGGAGCCCUAUAACAAGAGAAAGCCCAUGUGCAGCAACAAAGACCUAAAGAAAACACAAAUAGAUAAAACUUUCCAGGCAGAGGGCACAACCAGGGCAAAGCCCUAGGCUGGGGACAGUCCGGCUGGAGCACAGAGGUGAGGAGACCAGCACGAGCCGUGAGAAAGUCAAAGGCAGGGAGGGAGUGCUUUGCAAGCCCGGGCAAGGAGCAUGCAGUUCAUUUUAAGGGAGGUGGAAAGCCAUCCAGGACAUUUUUAAGCAGCUGAGGGAGAGCAUCUAAUUGACCUUUGAAAAAUCACCUGCACAGACAGGGAUUCCUGGGGGCCAAGGGAGACCCCCGCAGCAGUCCUGGCUCCAGGGGAUGGUGACUUGGACCAGGAAGGAAGUGGUGGUGGCUGAGGAGAUUAGGGACAUCUCGGGGGACAGAAUUGAAAAGACAUACUGAGAAAGAUGGGCUUGAGCUGUUGGUGCAAUUUAUAGAAACGGGGAUGUCUGGGAAAGAGUAAAUUGAGGUGGGGGAUCAAGAGUUCUGUUUGGCCUGUGUUUAUUUUGAGGUGCUAAUUAGGUGUCCAUGAGGCCAUGUGGAGAAGGAAGUUGGCUAUGGGAGUUUGGAAGGCCAAGGAAUGGUCAAGCUGGAGUAUAUAAAACCCUAGGGCCAGACGGAGUCAGCCGGGGAGAGUGUGGAACAGGUAAUGAGUAAUGGGCUCGGGGGCGUUCAAACAUUUAGAGACCAGAGUGGGAGUGACACGUAGAUGGGCUGGCACAGUGGCCAGGGAGAUGGCAGGAAAACCCAGAGGGCGUGGUAACUGAUAAGCCAAGAAAAUCAUUUAAUCAAGAGAAAGUUAUCAAAUGUGCUCAGUGCUGCCAAGAGAUAAAGGAAGAGCAGAGACCGGCUUCCCUGAUGGUCCCGGAGCUAAGACUCCACACUCCCAACGCAGGCAGCCUGCGUUCGAUCCCAGGUCAGGGAACUGGAUCUCUCAGACUACAACUAAGACCCGGCAUAGCCCAAUAAAUAUUUUUUUUAAAAGAAGAAUAGAGAAAAGCUCUUUGGAGUUGAACUUUGAAGCCCAAGUUAGAAAGAGAAAAACAAAUAUCAUAUAUUGUCAAAUCUAGAAAAACAGUACUGAUGAACCUGUUUGCAGGGCAUGAAUCAAAUGCAAACAUAGAAAAGACUUGUGGACAUAGCCAGGGCAGGGGAGGGGAACAAAUUGAGAGAGUAGCAUUGAAGCAUAUACAUUGCUGUAGGUAAAGCAGAGAGCUAACGGAAAGUUUCUGUAUAAAACAGGGAGCUCAACACAGAGCUCUGUGACAACCUAGAGGGCUGGGACAGGGUGGAGGUGUGCAGAGGUUCUAGAGAGAAGGGACAUAUGUAUACUUGUGGCUGGUUCACAUUGUUGUAUGGCAGAAACCAACACAACAUUCUAAGGCAAUUAUCCUCCAAUUAAAAAUGUUUUAAAUAAUUUCUAAAUGCUUC
ensembl:lncRNA